rnacentral:rRNA from 1 species
GACGAACGCUGGCGGCGUGCUUAACACAUGCAAGUCGAGCGGAAAGGCCCUUCGGGGUACUCGAGCGGCGAACGGGUGAGUAACACGUGAGUAACCUGCCCCAGACUUUGGGAUAACCCUCGGAAACGGGGGCUAAUAUCGGAUACGACACAGCUUCGCAUGGGGUCUGUGUGGAAAGUUUUUCGGUUUGGGAUGGGCUCGCGGCCUAUCAGCUUGUUGGUGGGGUGAUGGCCUACCAAGGCGACGACGGGUAGCCGGCCUGAGAGGGCGACCGGCCACACUGGGACUGAGACACGGCCCAGACUCCUACGGGAGGCAGCAGUGGGGAAUAUUGCACAAUGGGCGGAAGCCUGAUGCAGCGACGCCGCGUGAGGGAUGACGGCCUUCGGGUUGUAAACCUCUUUCAGCAGGGACGAAGCGUAAGUGACGGUACCUGCAGAAGAAGCGCCGGCCAACUACGUG